GCCCGGGUGGUGGAACUGGUAGACACUGGGGAUUUAAAAUCCCCUGGACCUGGUCCGUGCGGGUUCGAGUCCCGCCCCGGGCA
rnacentral:tRNA from 1 species